rnacentral:lncRNA from 1 species
GGUUUGGUGAAGUGUGCAUGGAGAUUGUGAGUGGUCAAUAAGGAAUCGGUCACUUCUUGUAAGAGGAGAGAACAUUCUUUGUGGUCUUAUAGGAUGAUGACUCAGAAAAUCUCUGGCCAGAGCAGGGAUGAACAAUGGAAAGUAUUUCUAUUGAUUCAUUAAUUGAGCCACCAUCAUCAUCAGAUCAAAAUAUAGAUGGAUAAAUAUUUGGGCU